UCAUUCUUACAACAUAGUGUUAAUGCAUCGGAUCCCAUUAGAACUCCACAAUUAAGCGUGCUCAAGCUAGAGUAGUGCAGGGAUGGAUGAACACCCAAUAAGUCCUAGUGUUUCACAUGGC
rnacentral:rRNA from 1 species